AUUCUGGUGUUUUUUAACACCACCCUUUUCAAAGAAACUAAUUCAAU
rfam:Phytophthora megakarya strain zdho120 scaffold_261, whole genome shotgun sequence.